CGGGAGGCAGCAGUGGGGAAUAUUGCACAAUGGGGGGAACCCUGAUGCAGCAAUGCCGCGUGAAGGAUGAAGGUUUUCGGAUUGUAAACUUCUUUUGUACGGGACGAAGAAAGUGACGGUACCGUAAGAAUAAGCCACGGCUAACUACGUGCCAGCAGCCGCGGUAAUACGUAGGUGGCAAGCGUUAUCCGGAUUUACUGGGUGUAAAGGGCGAGUAGGCGGGAUUGCAAGUCAGAUGUGAAAACUAUGGGCUCAACCGAUAGAGUGCAUUUGAAACUGCAGUUCUUGAGUGAUGGAGAGGCAGGCGGAAUUCCCGGUGUAGCGGUGGAAUGCGUAGAUAUCGGGAGGAACACCAGUGGCGAAGGCGGCCUGCUGGACAUUAACUGACGCUGAGGCGCGAAAGCGUGGGGAGCAAACAGGAUUAGAUACCCUGGUAGUCCACGCUGUAAACGAUGAUUA
rnacentral:rRNA from 1 species